rnacentral:rRNA from 1 species
ACGAAGGGGGCUAGCGUUGCUCGGAAUCACUGGGCGUAAAGCGCACGUAGGCGGCUUUCUAAGUCAGGGGUGAAAUCCUGGAGCUCAACUCCAGAACUGCCUUUGAUACUGGAGAGCUUGAGUCCGGAAGAGGUGAGUGGAACUCCGAGUGUAGAGGUGAAAUUCGUAGAUAUUCGGAAGAACACCAGUGGCGAAGGCGGCUCACUGGUCCGGUACUGACGCUGAGGUGCGAAAGCGUGGGGAGCAAACAGGA